rnacentral:lncRNA from 1 species
UGAAGCAAACAAAUUUUGAUUGUUCUAUCACCCUCACCUUCUUAUUAUUUCAUGUAAUAAACAUGCCUACAUUGUAACAUUUAUUAAUUUCUUCCCAUUCCAUUUUUAAAUCACUACUAUUUAUUAUUAUUAUUAUUAUUACCAUACAUAGAGUAGAAUGUGAAUCAUAAAUGAAUUAUGUUGCUAAUUGCAUUGUAUUCCUCUUCAUAUUUGCAAGGUUAAUGAGUCUCAAGCAUUUGUAGCCAGGUCUACAUAUAAAGACAGUACCACUCAAAGUUGGUCUUCAACCCCAAAAAUUGAAACACAUGAAUAAUACAGACAACAACAACAAACAACCUUGACACAUGGCAACUGCCCCGUCAGCUUAUCAUGUACCCUUGCCAACUCAGCCAUGCUGUGCCAUGUCAUGCCCCCCCCC